rnacentral:rRNA from 1 species
GGAGGGUGCAAGCGUUGUUCGGAAUUACUGGGCGUAAAGCGCGCGUAGGCGGCUAUAUAAGUCAGAUGUGAAAGCCCGCGGCUCAACCGUGGAAGUGCAUUUGAAACUGUAUAGCUUGAGUACUGGAGGGGGUAGUGGAAUUCCCGGUGUAGAGGUGAAAUUCGUAGAUAUCGGGAGGAAUACCGGUGGCGAAGGCGACUACCUGGCCAGAUACUGACGCUGAGGUGCGAAAGCGUGGGGAGCAAACAGGGAUUAGAUACCCUGGUAGUCCACGCCGUAAACGAUGUCAACUAGGUGUUGGAGUGGUUAAUCGCUUCAUUGCCGGAGCUAACGCAUUAAGUUGACCGCCUGGGGAUACGGUCGCAAGAUUA